UACGUAGGGGGCGAGCGUUGUCCGGAUUUAUUGGGCGUAAAGAGCGUGUAGGCGGCCAGAUAAGUCCGCUGUGAAAUCUCGAGGCUCAACUUCGAGCUGUCGGUGGAAACUAUCUGGCUAGAGUCCGGAAGAGGAGAAUGGAAUUCCUGGUGUAGCGGUGAAAUGCGCAGAUAUCAGGAAGAACACCCGUGGCGAAGGCGGUUCUCUGGGACGUACUCGAUCGCUGAGGACGACGGAAGCGGGUGGGAGCGAAACGGGAUUAGAAACCUUCCGUAG
rnacentral:rRNA from 1 species